AGAUUGAACGCUGGCGGCAUGCCUUACACAUGCAAGUCGAACGGCAGCACGGGAGCAAUCCUGGUGGCGAGUGGCGAACGGGUGAGUAAUACAUCGGAACGUGCCCAGUUGUGGGGGAUAGCCCGGCGAAAGCCGGAUUAAUACCGCAUACGACCUACGGGUGAAAGCGGGGGAUCGCAAGCCUCGCGCUAUUGGAGCGGCCGAUGGUACGGAUUAGGCUUGGUUGGUAAGGGUAAAACGCCUACCAAGGGCUACGAUCCGUAGCUGGCUGAGAGGACGACCACGCCACACGUGGGACUAGAGACCGACGGACCCAAGUACUACCGUACGGGAGGCGAGGCCAGGUAGGGAAUUUGGACAAGUGGGACGUAAA
rnacentral:rRNA from 1 species